rnacentral:ncRNA from 1 species
UGAAGUAGAGGUUGCGCUAGCUAAAAGUAGUGAACAUUAGGGUGAUGCCUAAGAGUGUUCAUAAAAGGAGUUAGCGCCGAAGUAGUUGUACUCAUCAAGGUCGGCUGCUGGGGUUGUGUCCGAAAGGAGCAACACUGCCAUAGUAUUCCUGUCAGGGUGACGGGGUUUAUUUACUAUGGAGCGCUAUUGA